ACUUCUUUAUCUCCGAGUGCUUGCACUCACCGAUAAAGAGUUGAGUGGCGAACGGGUGAGUAACACGUGGGCAACCUGCCCAAAAGAGGGGGAUAACACUUGGAAACAGGUGCUAAUACCGCAUAACCAUAGUUACCGCAUGGUAACUAUGUAAAAGGUGGCUAUGCUACCGCUUUUGGAUGGGCCCGCGGCGCAUUAGCUAGUUGGUGGGGUAAAGGCUUACCAAGGCAAUGAUGCGUAGCCGAACUGAGAGGUUGAUCGGCCACAUUGGGACUGAGACACGGCCCAAACUCCUACGGGAGGCAGCAGUAGGGAAUCUUCCACAAUGGGCGAAAGCCUGAUGGAGCAACGCCGCGUGGGUGAAGAAGGUCUUCGGAUCGUAAAACCCUGUUGUUAGAGAAGAAAGUGCGUGAGAGUAACUGUUCACGUUUCGACGGUAUCUAACCAGAAAGCCACGGCUAACUACGUGCCAGCAGCCGCGGUAAUACGUAGGUGGCAAGCGUUAUCCGGAUUUAUUGGGCGUAAAGGGAACGCAGGCGGUCUUUUAAGUCUGAUGUGAAAGCCUUCGGCUUAACCGGAGUAGUGCAUUGGAAACUGGGAGACUUGAGUGCAGAAGAGGAGAGUGGAACUCCAUGUGUAGUGGUGAAAUGCGUAGAUAUAUGGAAAAACACCAGUGGCGAAAGCGGCUCUCUGGUCUGUAACUGACGCUGAGGUUCGAAGGCGUGGGUA
rnacentral:rRNA from 1 species